UUUAAAGUUACUCAGCACUGUUGCUCGGACUGUAUCGGUACGGGAAGCCCAAGAGAAAGCAUGCUUGCUGUGAGAGUCCCAGGCUUGAAAGGGGUCUUAGGUCUCAUGCACCCAAGGAAAUGGAUGCCAUGACACAUCAGCCACCGACUUUCAAUUAGGGUCAGCGAGAUGGUUCAGUGGAUAAUGCCACUUGCCACCGAGUCUGACGGCCUGAUGAUGUGGAACCCAUAUGGUAAAAGGAGAGAACCAACCCCUGCAACGUCUCCUUUGGUCUCCACAUGUGUUCCAUAAUAUUGAACAUGUGCAUGAAUUCUUGUGUGAGUAAAAAUGUAAUUAAAAUCUUUGAAAACUUUCA